rnacentral:rRNA from 1 species
GGGCCCGCACAAGCGGUGGAGUAUGUGGUUUAAUUCGAUGCAACGCGAAGAACCUUACCAGGGUUUGACAUCCUGCGAAUCUCUUGGAAACAGGAGAGUGCCUUCGGGAACGCAGUGACAGGUGGUGCAUGGCUGUCGUCAGCUCGUGUCGUGAGAUGUUGGGUUAAGUCCGGCAACGAGCGCAACCCACAUCCCUAGUUGCCAGCAGUUCGGCUGGGCACUCUAUGGAAACUGCCCGUGAUAAGCGGGAGGAAGGUGUGGAUGACGUCAAGUCCUCAUGGCCCUUACGGGUUGGGCUACACACGUGCUACAAUGGUAGUGACAAUGGGUUAAUCCCAAAAAGCUAUCUCAGUUCGGAUUGUCGUCUGCAACUCGACAGCAUGAAGUCGGAAUCGCUAGUAAUCGCAGGUC